CCUACGGGAGGCAGCAGUGAGGAAUAUUGGUCAAUGGACGCAAGUCUGAACCAGCCAUGCCGCGUGCAGGAAGACGGCUCUAUGAGUUGUAAACUGCUUUUGUACGAGGGUAAACGCAGAUACGCGUAUCUGUCUGAAAGUAUCGUACGAAUAAGGAUCGGCUAACUCCGUGCCAGCAGCCGCGGUAAUACGGAGGAUUCAAGCGUUAUCCGGAUUUAUUGGGUUUAAAGGGUGCGUAGGCGGUCGGAUAAGUUAGAGGUGAAAUCCCGAGGCUCAACUUCGGAAUUGCCUCUGAUACUGUUAGGCUAGAGAGUAGUUGAGGUAGGCGGAAUGUAUGGUGUAGCGGUGAAAUGCUUAGAGAUCAUACAGAACACCGAUUGCGAAGGCAGCUUACCAGGCUACUACUGACGUUGAGGCACGAAAGCGUGGGGAGCAAACAGGAUUAGAUACCCUUGUAGUC
rnacentral:rRNA from 1 species